UACCCGAAAAACAUCUUCAAUUUUUAUAAUGAGUACUGCUAUACAUCCGACCCUAUUGUUCGACCCCAGUCCGACCCUGCCGUAUCUGCUAAUCAAUUUACACCAACGAGCCAGCUGCUCUCCAUGUGGGCCAGAGCAAGGAGCAGGUAAGUACUGGUCGGAUGCUAAGUCGUACAUACUAGUCGGAUGUGUAGCAAUUUCCUUUUAUAAUAGUAGAGAUAAAACCCAUAUGGGCGUUAUAUUUAGCAUGAAGUUUCAUGUGUGUUUCAAUCCACUUCACUCCUCUCCCCCACUAGGGCGGCCCAAAUGUUCCGCCCGGCCCGGCCCGGCCCAUUAAGGCGCAGCCGCACGGCUGGUGUGCCAAGCAAAGCAGGGGCAUCGCCGCCGGUCAUCUUCCUCCUCGCGCCGCCGCCGCAGCUGUCCUGCGAUCUUCGCCCCGCGUGUCUCUCUCCCUCGCCGGCACAGUCCUCCUGGCUCCUCCUGUACGCCCCACGUAUGGCCACCUGAUGUAGUGCUGCACCACCCUCCCCCAUGACCGGGGUGACCAGCUUCUCUACAAACCGCGCGCAAUCUGGCCUCUACAUCAAUCCUCUCGAUGGGGGUAUUCGAGGUGAAGUGGCAACGAGGCCCCAGCUCUUGGCCCUUUGCCGCUCGCUGCCGGAUUCGAGCAGAUUCGGCACCUUCUUCCUUUCUCCCGAAUGACAGAUUCUGCACAAGCGCCAACCUAUCAUUCGCCGACCGAUGCUAGUCAGGUGCAUUUAAUGACGCGUGGACCCAAUACGUGAAAAAAGGGGACAAGCAUAAGGAAGGAAUCACCAACUUCUAUCACCACCAAGACUUCCUAUGCCGUCAACAAGUUGGUCACACUUGUGGUUUCCACGUGUGCCAUAGCGUGAAGACUUUGCUAAAUAAGGUGACAUUGCUAGAUGUUGAGGCUAGGAUUAACAACAUUCCGCCGCACAACUUCGCGCACAUUAGGGAGGAAAUAGCUGCCUUCAUACUUGCGAAAAUCAUAUCUUCAAAAGGAAGCUUUGUUUCAAAGUAGCCCAUCCAAAAAUUGUUGA